rnacentral:rRNA from 1 species
GACGAACGCUGGCGGCGUGCUUAACACAUGCAAGUCGAACGGAAAGUCCCUGCUUUGGUGGGGUGCUCGAGUGGCGAACGGGUGAGUAACACGUGAGUAACCUGCCCUUGACUUUGGGAUAACUUCAGGAAACUGGGGCUAAUACCGGAUAGGAGCUACUGCUGCAUGGUGGGGGUUGGACAGUUUCGGCGGUUGGUGAUGGACUCGCGGCUUAUCAGCUUGUUGGUGGGGUAGUGGAUUACCAAGGCUUUGACGGGUAGCCGGCCUGAGAGGGUGACCGGCCCCAUUGGGACGGAGAUACGGCCCAGACUCCAACGGGACGCAGCAGAGGGGAAUAGUGUACAAUGGGCGGAAGGCUGAUGCAGCAACGCCGCGUGCGGGAUGUCGGCCUUCGGGUUGGAAACCACUUUCGUCUGUGACGAAGCGUGAGUGACGGUAAUGGGUAAAGAAGCACCGGCUAACUACGUG